AGAUCCCUGAAAGAUGAUCAGGUUGAUAGGUCAGAGGUGGAAGCGUGGCGACAUGUGGAGCUGACUGAUACUAAUCGAUCGAGGACUUAACCA
rnacentral:rRNA from 1 species